CUUGGCUGCAUAAUUUCAACACCAUCAACAUCAAUUCCAUGUGACAGUAUUAAAUCUAGAGUAUGAUUUCGACAAUGAGUAGGUCCUGAGACGUGUUGUCUAACCCCAAUAGAGUUCAGAAUGUCUAUAAAUGCUGAUCCCAAUGCAUCUGUUAUGUUCAUUGUGUUAAGUGUUUUAGGUUUCACUCUUGGGACUCUAAUUUUGAAAAUUACCAGACUAAGCAAGGGAGCAGCCAUUUUGGUUUCAGUUUGCUCAGCUCUCUCAAGCUUUAAGCUCCAUGUGACUGCCGCUCCAGUUUUCUUUAAUGUUCAUGUCUUCGAAAGCAUUGUCAUUUCACUCUCCUUUGAAGCAUAUUGGAGUAAACAUCAGGAGUUUUGAAAACUACACCCUGGCUCCAGUCUUUAUUUGAAGGGAGUUUGGCUUGCUGCUAAAUUGUGUUCACACAUAUGGAAACACACAAGGAGAGCAGUACAGUGAAAUGACAAAUCAGCUGGCUGAACAUCUUGGCAGAAGCGUACAGUAGCAAGUAGUGAGCAUCAUGGCUGAAAGUUUCACUCUCCUUUGAAGCAUAUUGGAGUAAACAUCAGGAGUUUUGAAAACUACACCCUGGCUCCAGUCUUUAUUUGAAGGGAGUUUGGCUUGCUGCUAAAUUGUGUUCACACAUAUGGAAACACACAAGGAGAGCAGUACAGCAUCUUUUUUAUUAUCAACAUGGAUAUUAAAAUCACCAACAAUUAAAACUUUAUCUGCAGCCAGCACUAACUCGGAUGUAAAAUCA
ensembl:lncRNA